rnacentral:tRNA from 1 species
GGGCUUAAGUUUAGCUUAGUGGUAGAGUGCUUAUUUAUAAUGAGAGAAGCAUUGGGUUUGAUUCCCAGAGUGUCCA